rnacentral:rRNA from 1 species
AGUGAGGAAUAUUGGUCAAUGGGCGCAAGCCUGAACCAGCCAUCCCGCGUGAAGGAAGAAUGCGCUACGCGUUGUAAACUUCUUUUCCAGGGGGAGAAUAAUCCUGUCGUGACAGGACUUGACGGUACUCUGGGAAUAAGCAUCGGCUAACUCCGUGCCAGCAGCCGCGGUAAUACGGAGGAUGCGAGCGUUAUCCGGAUUUAUUGGGUUUAAAGGGUGCGUAGGCGGAUUGAUAAGUCAGUGGUGAAAUUCUACAGCUUAACUGUAGACUUGCCGUUGAUACUGUUAGUCUUGAGUGUGGUCAAGGCAGGCGGAAUGUGUAAUGUAGCGGUGAAAUGCUUAGAUAUUACACAGAACACCGAUUGCGAAGGCAGCUUGCUGGGUCAUUACUGACGCUGAUGCACGAAAGCGUGGGGAUCAAACAGGAUUAGAUACCCUGGUAGUCCACGCCGUAAACUAUGAUCACUCGCUGUUGGCGAUACACAGUCAGCGGCUAAGCAAAAGCAUUAAGUGAUCCACCCGGGGAGUACGGCCGCAAGGCUGAAACUCAAAGGAAUUGACGGGGACCCGCACAAGCGGAGGAACAUGUGGUUUAAUUCGAUGAUACGCGAGGAACCUUACCUGGGCUUAAAUGUGGAGUGCAUUGGUGAGAAAUCAUCAUUUUCUUCGGAACUCUCUGCAAGGUGCUGCAUGGUUGUCGUCAGCUCGUGCCGUGAGGUGUCGGGUUAAGUCCCAUAACGAGCGCAACCCUUAUCGUUAGUUGCCAGCGGGUCAAGCCGGGGACUCUAGCGAAACUGCCGGUGUAAACCGAGAGGAAGGUGGGGAUGACGUCAAAUCAGCACGGCCCUUAUGUCCAGGGCUACACACGUGUUACAAUGGCCGGUACAGAGGGCAGCUACCUGGAGACAGGAUGCGAAUCUCGAAAGCCGGUCUCAGUUCGGAUCGGAGUCUGCAACUCGACUCCGUGAAGCUGGAUUCGCUAGUAAUCGCGCAUCAGCCACGGCGCGGUGAAUACGUUCCCGGGCCUUGUACACACCGCCCGUCAAGCCAUGGAAGUUGGGGGUGCCUGAAGUCCGUAACCGCGAGGAGCGGCCUAGGGUAAAACCAGUGACUGGGGCU